rnacentral:tmRNA from 1 species
GGGGCUGCUUUUGGAUUUGACAAAAUUAUCAACAAAGUAAAGUGCAUGCCGAGGAACGGUUUGCCUCGAUAAAAGCCGUAAAAAAAUAAUUGCAAAUAAUAAACAAAACUACGCUUUAGCAGCUUAAAAAACUGUAUGAAGCCCUUCCUUCUCAGCCUCUCUCUCUUAGGACGAGAAAACAGGAAGGUCAAAUAAGAGAAAACGUAGCUAUCAAGCUUGAUGAUAGCGCGAAGUAAAUUUUCAAGCUAUAUACCUAAAAUGAGUUUUUCCAAAUUAGGUAAUGAAUUGAAAAAAGAAAAAACUAAGCAUGUAGUACUUUAUUCGUAGAAAUUUUGGACGCGGGUUCAAAUCCCGCCAGCUCCACCA